GAUGAACGCUGGCGGCGUGCUUAACACAUGCAAGUCGAACGAAGCACUUUAUUUGAUUUCCUUCGGGACUGAUUAUUUUGUGACUGAGUGGCGGACGGGUGAGUAACGCGUGGGUAACCUGCCUUGUACAGGGGGAUAACAGUUGGAAACGGCUGCUAAUACCGCAUAAGCGCACGGCAUCGCAUGAUGCAGUGUGAAAAACUCCGGUGGUAUAAGAUGGACCCGCGUUGGAUUAGCUAGUUGGUGAGGUAACGGCCCACCAAGGCGACGAUCCAUAGCCGAACUGAGAGGGUGACCGGCCACAGUGGGACUGAGGCACGGCCCAAACUCCUACGGGAGGCAGCAGUGGGGAAUAUUGCACAAUGGGCGAAAGCCUGAUGGAGCGACGCCGCGUGAGCGAAGAAGUAUUUCGGUAUGUAAAGCUCUAUCAGCAGUGAAGAUAAUGACGGUACCUGACUAAGAAGCACCGGCUAAAUACGUG
rnacentral:rRNA from 1 species